rnacentral:rRNA from 1 species
GAUGAACGCUAGCGGCAGGCCUAACACAUGCAAGUCGAGGGUAGAAUUAGCUUGCUAAUUUGAGACCGGCGCACGGGUGCGUAACGCGUAUGCAAUCUACCUUGUACAGGGGGAUAGCCCAGAGAAAUUUGGAUUAAUACCCCAUGGUAUAAUUGAAUCGCAUGGUUUGAUUAUUAAAGUUCCAACGGUACAAGAUGAGCAUGCGUCCCAUUAGCUAGUUGGUGUGGUAACGGCAUACCAAGGCGACGAUGGGUAGGGGUCCUGAGAGGGAGAUCCCCCACACUGGUACUGAGACACGGACCAGACUCCUACGGGAGGCAGCAGUGAGGAAUAUUGGUCAAUGGUCGGAAGACUGAACCAGCCAUGCCGCGUGCAGGAAGACGGUCCUAUGGAUUGUAAACUGCUUUUGUACGGGAAGAAACACUCCUUCGUGAAGGAGCUUGACGGUACCGUAAGAAUAAGGAUCGGCUAACUCCGUG